rnacentral:rRNA from 1 species
GCUGCGUGGACAUGCUGUGGGAGAUUCAUUGGAUCCGCGGACGCGGCCACUCUCACGGUAUGCUUUCGCGUAGCCGAACGCAUUUGUUUCCCGUCCGAAGGACCCCGCAACCGGUUCGGAAACGGCCUUAAGGGUCGGUAAUGGCAGUUGGCCGGUGGCUCGCCUCGUGUGGGUCGUCGGUUGUUAGCCGUCCGAUCUUGGCUCGUGGCCGGACCGUGGUGUCGCGAGGCCCGUUUGGGCUUCUUCGCCUCCUCCGUUCGCGGACGCCGGGAUCCYGGGGCAGGGGUUCGCACUUCUGCGGGCGCACGGACCGACUCCGUGGCCCAGCGGUCGCAUGCGUCCUCGUUGGCCUCGGUGAACCCGUCGGAGGUUGGCGGUUAGCGGGGAGUAGAUCGGUCACCCACCCGACCCGUCUUGAAACACGGACCAAGGAGUCUAACAUGUGUGCGAGUCAAUGGGUCUCGAAUAAGCCCAGAGGCGCAAUGAAAGCAAAGGCAGGACUCGACGCCUGCCGAGUUGGGAUCCUCCUUCCUUCGCGUUGGAGGCGCACCAACGACCCGUCCUGUCCCAUUUAUGGGUUGGGCGGAGUUUGAGCAUACACGUUGGGACCCGAAAGAUGGUGAACUAUGCCCGGGCAGGACGAGGCCAGAGGAAACUCUGGUGGAGGUCCGCAGCGGUUCUGACGUGCAAAUCGA